rnacentral:rRNA from 1 species
UUAUGGCAGUAACGGGUAACGAAGAAUUAGGGUUCGAUUUCGGAGAGGGAGCAUGAGAAACGGCUACCACAUCUAAGGAAGGCAGCAGGCGCGUAAAUUACCCAAUCCUGACUCAGGGAGGUAGUGACAAAAUAGCAAACCGGGAACCUCAUGGUUUCACGGUAUUGCAAUGAGAACAAUCUAAAACCCUUAGCGAGAAUCAAGUGGAGGACAAGUCUGGUGCCAGCACCCGCGGUAAUUCCAGCUCCACUAGCGUAUAUUAAAGUUGUUGCAGUUAAAAAGCUCGUAGUUGAACCUCUGUCUGGGGCUAGUUUUGGCUUUGGUCAGGCUAGUUCUAGGCAUCCGCCUACAAGACUUAGAGGGCAUUCAGUUGUUCACUAGGAGGAGUAGGCAUUUUACUUUGAAAAAAUUAGAGUGUUUAAGGCAGGCAAUCGCCCGCAUAUAUUAGCAUGGAAUAAUAGAAUAGGACACUUUUCCAUUUCGUUGGUUAUUGGAAUCGUGUAAUGAUUAAUAGGGACAGUUGUGGGCAUUUGUAUUUAAUUGUCAGAGGUGAAAUUCUUGGAUUUAUUAAAGACAAACUAACGCGAAAGCAUUUGCCAAGGAUGUUUUCAUUAAUCAAGAACGAAAGUUAGGGGAUCAAAGACGAUCAGAUACCGUCCUAGUCUUAACUAUAAACUAUUCCGACUCAAUGUUUGACUGGCUUAUAUAACCAGUUGAGCGUUGUAUGAGAAAUCAAAGUCUUUAGGUUCUGGGGGGAGUAUGUUGCAAAGCUGAAACUUAAAGGAAUUGACGGAAGAGCACAACCAGGAGUGGAUUCUGCGGCUUAAUUUGACUCAACACGGGGAAACUUACCAGGUUGAAACAAUAGUGGGAUUGACAGUUUGAGAGCGCUUUCUUGAUUGGUUGGGUGGUGGUGCAUGGCCGUUCUUAGUUGGUGGAGUGAUUUGUCUGCUUAAUUGCGUUAACGAACGAGACCUUAACCUGCUUACUAGACUGGCGAUCAUCAAUCGUUAGCUCUUCUUAGAGGGACUUUGGUUGUUUUAACUCCAAGGAAGUUUGAGGCAAUAACAGGUCUGUGAUGCCCUUAGAUAUCCUGGGCCGCACGCGUCAUACAAUGACUAGUUCAGAAAGUUUUCUCCUGACCCGAAAGGGGAUGGGUAAUCUUGAUAAUACUAGUCGUGUUAGGGAUCGAUCUUUGCAAUUAUAGAUCUUGAACGAGGAAUUCCUAGUAAGUGCGGUUCAUCAGACCGUACUGAUUACGUCCCUGCUCUUUGUACACACCGCCCGUCGCUUCUACCGAGUGGGUGGUCCGGUGAGAUAAUUGAACUUCGCAGGUAACUGA